rnacentral:rRNA from 1 species
AUUGAACGCUGGCGGCAUGCUUUACACAUGCAAGUCGAACGGUAACAGGCCGCAAGGUGCUGACUAGUGGCGAACGGGGGAGGAAUGCAAACGAACGUGCCCAGUCGUUGGGGAUAACUAAUCGAAAGGGGAGCUAAUACCGCAUACCGGCUAUGGAUUAAAGCGGGAGACCUUAAGGCCUCGCGCGGGUGGAGCGGCCGGUGUCAGAUUAGGUAGUUGGUGGGGUAACGGCUCACCAAGACAACGAUCUGUAGCGGAACUGAGAGGAUGACCAGCCACACUGGAACUGAGACACGGCCCAGACUCCUACGGGAGGCAGCAGUAGGGAAUCUUGCACAAUGGGCGAAAGCCUGACCCAGCAACGCCGCGUGAGUGAUGAAGGUCUUCGGAUCGUAAACUGCUUUUAUUCGGAAAGAACCGAUUUUGAUUUAUCCAUGCAGGUCUUGACGGUACCGUAUCAAAAAGCACCGGCUAACUACGUG